rnacentral:rRNA from 1 species
GUGAGUAGUUCAGAGUUUGAUCCUGGCUCAGGAUGAACGCUGGCGGCGUGCUUAACACAUGCAAGUCGAACGAAGCAAUUUAUCUAGAUCCCUUCGGGGUGACGGAUUUAUUGACUGAGUGGCGGACGGGUGAGUAACGCGUAUGUAACCUACCUUUAACAGGGGGAUAACACUGAGAAAUUGGUACUAAUACCCCAUAACACUUUAGGAGGCAUCUCCUUUAGUUGAAAGUUCCGGCGGUUAAAGAUGGACAUGCGUUGUAUUAGCUAGAUGGUGAGGUAACGGCUCACCAUGGCGACGAUACAUAGGGGGACUGAGAGGUUAACCCCCCACACUGGUACUGAGACACGGACCAG